UGCUGCUGCUGCUUUUCUUUCUCUUCUUAAAUUGGCUAAGGGGAAAAAAACGAUACCUCUGCACCUGGGGCAGCAGCACAUGACCUCUAGGCGAGCUUAGUCUUAAUUAGAAGGUAUUGCUUCUGGGUCAGAGAAGCCGCCUUCUGCCAGGCUUUAAGGCCCGAGCACCUCUCAUUUUGCAGGGUAAGCCCUGACAGCGGAAAGGCAGAAAGAAGAAAGGCCUCGCCCAGUUUUGAAAGGGCAGGAUUAGGUGGGGUGUGCUGAGGAGCGUCUCACAUUUGCUUCCCUGAGGCAGGAGGGAUGGGGAGAGGCGAGAGCUGCCUGGUCUAGUCUCUUCUCUCACCAGCUGCCAAUUCUGCUCAGGCAGCGCAGCUGCAGAGAGAGGGAGAGAGGCGGUUUCCAUGGUAACCACUGCUGGGGCUCCUCUCCUCUUUGCUGUAUUUGGAAGAAGAUGAGGAGGCAAGGGCGGGGGAAGAAGCAUGGUCUGACUCCCAAGCCCAGUGGCAGCAGCCUACAUGGGGCUGCAAAGAUAACAUUCGGAGGACGGGUACUGCCACACUGUACACAGGAAGAGGAAGUGCACAUAACCUAAGGCUUGUAUGGUGGGCUGCUCUUCAGGCCUCCUCAGCUUGGAAGCAAGUCUCAUCCCUUGCAGAAUAUGAAACAGCAAGCCCCAAACGAGGACAAAGUGCUAUCACAAGAAGGACAAGAAGAAGCAAGAAAGAAGAGCUCUUUAAGGUGAAAGGAUGAUCUCAUGCAAAAAGGCAGAGGGGCAAUGUUUCUUCCUAAUGGACCAUGUUAAACACCAAGGUUCCAAAUUUACCAGAAUACACACAACAGAUCUGCAGUGCCCUUAUUUUUCUUUCUCCGGAUUUUGCUCUUGCAAGCCUAGUGGCAUGCUUAAUGCAGUAGAGUGGAAGAGGACGGCUGAAAACUCGGUCAAAGUAUUAUUUUCCAGUCCGCCAGUCUCCAAUACUCUUUUCUCAAAAGACUUUUGAUUUAGCUCAAGAUAAUUCCUUGAGCAAAACAUAACCUUUGGUGAUAUUUCUGAGUAGCACCAACAGAUAAAAUUCACAGCAAUAGGGCAUUUCAGAAAAAGGAAAACGGCUUUUAAUGUGACAGCAUCAAGUUUUGGUUGCAAAAAAUAAAAUGCAAAACAACUGCAAAGCCUACAGAUCCUCACACUGACUUAGUGGGAAAUGACACCGUUUAGUUCUAUAACAGGGCAAAGUAUAAUUACUUCUAUUCUGAAUACCUUCUCUCCCAGAAUGAGAAUCCACUUAUUCUUAGCAAGCCACAGAUCCUUAGCCGACAGAGUAAAUUUCACUAUAAUUUCACUUUGCUGAAAACUCAGUGCUACAAUUUGUCAGGGGGUCUCUUUACUCUCUGAAGAAGAAAAAGAAUAGUUUAAAGGGAUGUCAUGAAGGCAGAGCAGACUUGUUCUCUGUUGUUCCGGAACCAGCACGCAGAAAUUGCAGGAGAGCAAAUUUUGGCUAGAAGUUAAGAACAGAAACUUCCCCAAUGGUUAGAGCUGUUAAACAAAGAACAGGCUGCCUUGGGAAACAUUUAAGCGGAGGCUGGACAGCCAUCUGUCAGGGAUGCUGUGGUUGCAUCCUGUAUUGCAGAUCCUGUACUGAACAGGGAGUGGACAUUACCUCCACAACCGUUCCAACUGUAGAACUGUAUGAACAAAGAUCUGAAGUCCAUUAUGAGCUCCAGAGAUAUACAAGAACCCCACACAUCCAGUUUUGCUUACCUGACUUGGCCCCAUCAGGAGGGAGCAGUCCACAGAUCAAGUUAAUACCUUCAUCACCCAGCAUGCAGUCCCCUAAGUCCAAGGCCACUAGUGAGGGAUGGAUGGAGAGUGCUGGGUUCAAAAGAGCCAGACCAGCGUCUGUCAGGGGACUUCCGUGGAGG